CACCUGAUAGCACAUGGUGUGCACCUGCCCUACUUGAUGAUUUUAUCCCCCAAGAUGUAGGCAGGAGGUCCCCGUUCAACUCGGGGUCGGGUGA